rnacentral:pre_miRNA from 1 species
CGGUCGAAUCGGAUCUCACAGAGCGCGUGCACUCGAUUGUCUCUGGGAAACGCUUCGACUGGA